rnacentral:rRNA from 1 species
UACAGAGGGGGCAAGCGUUGUUCGGAAUUACUGGGCGUAAAGGGCGCGUAGGCGGCCUUCUAAGUCGAACGUGAAAUCCCCGGGCUCAACCCGGGAACUGCGUCCGAGACUGGAAGGCUUGAAUCCGGGAGGGGGAUGUGGAAUUCCAGGUGUAGCGGUGAAAUGCGUAGAUAUCUGGAGGAACAUCGGUGGCGAAGGCGGCAGCCUGGACCGGUAUUGACGCUGAGGCGCGAAAGCCAGGGGAGCAAACGGG